UUGAAAUAGAUGCAUAUAGAUAUUUCGGAAUGAACUGAAACAUCUGACACUCGAUUAAAGCAUUUGCAAUUUAGAUCAUCACCUGUGAUUCAUCAAGAUCAGUAGAAUCCAACUAUUCCGGCCGCCGGAAGUACGCCGUAUAAAAUCGAAUAAUAUCCCGCGACAAGGGGUUCACUAUGGGCUCAUCGGAAUUAACUCUUAUAAAUUCACAGUGAAGAAUAGCGAAGAUGGAAUCACCGGCGGGCACCAGAACAAUACGCCUAUCAGCCUUCUCCGAACCCAAUUCCGACACCGAUUUCGAUCGUACAGUUGGUGGAUGCUUCAACUUUAAAGAAAGAAGUCGCCGAAGGUGUUGACUUGAUGGUUGUGAGGGAACUUACAGGAGGCUGCUGGAUAAGGAUAAAUCAGCAGCAGCGGCAGUUGCUUCUUCUUCUUCGUCGCAUGAACUUGCUCAGCCUCAAAGAACGAAUCAACGAAAUAGUUCAUCCGCGCAUAUUCAUAAUUCCCCAUCCGCUGCAUUGUAAAUCUGUGAUUGUUUGAAACAUUUGAGAAGUCCAUUCACUGUGAAUUAAGUUCAUUCACUGUUAAUUAAGUUCAGUCUGUGCAAAUCUGUUCAUCCGCUACUAAACAGGUUCAUCCACUGUUGAACAGGUUCAUUCGCUGCUAAACAGGUCCUAUCAGUUAUAAUUUUGCGAUUGUGAUUUCUGAUUUAGUUUGAAAUUGUUAAGUAUGUCCUAUCAGUUAUAAUUUUACAAGUUUUUUUUUCUGAAUCAAAGAGCCUAUGAAAAUGCCUUUCCAUGUUCAAAUUGUGAUUUGAAAAUACCUAAAUACAUUAGUUAAUGGUGAUGGAUAAGAAAUCAGUUGAUUUUAAGCCUUAAUGCAGUUUAGAAUGUGGUUGUAUAUACUCCAGUGGAGAUUUUUGAUCUACAUUUAAUGGAUUUUGAUUUUCUAGACUCUUUGAAUGUAUGAUAUACAGGCUGGUGGAUAAGGAUAAAUCAGCAGCGGCGGUAGUUGCUUCUUCUUCUUCGUCACAUGAACUUGCUCAACGUCAAAGAACGAAUCAACAAAAUAGGGCUCGAGGCGAAAGUGAACUUUCCUCUCCAAUUUAAGAGAUGAAACACUGAAGUAAGAUGAAACACUGAUUCAGAGAAGCGAAAGGAAUCAGUGUGUUCUGUUCACAUGCCAGCUUCAUCCACUACGCAUCAGAGGUAUUGACUAUGCCGUUUCCAACAAUGAUAUCCCAGGCAGAGCUCCGGAUUUACCCAAUUUAUUAAGCAGGUAUGCCAGAGGAAAAAUGAUCUCACAUCACAAGCAGCUGUUAUGGUACUAAUGAUCUAUGUAAAGCUUGCUAUUCUCGCUUCUUAUUCUGGAGAUGAGCUGUUGGCUGUUUACCGUUAUUUUCAGAGUUUAGCAGUUGACACCCCUGGUAUUACUGCAAGAUAAAAUUUGAUCAUUGCAUUUGAGAAGGUAUCUACUGACUACUGUUAAGUUUUUCAAAUAUUAAGGAUUCUAUAGAAUAGGAAGUUUCAAAUAUUAAGGAAUUCGGAUUUAGUUUUGUUCUUUUUAAAAUGUUUUGAAAAGAUAAUUUAUCUUUAAAAUUUGGCAGAAUUGUCAGAUAAAGUAUAAUUUGAUUUAAACCCAUUUCAAAGUAGAUGGGCCGAAUUUCUAUCUUUCUUUCACGAGUCACAAUAUCUCAGGUUGGGUUUGGGUUGACCUGCAGAUAUAUUUUUUCUCUUUUUUAUAUAAUAGCCGAACAAUUAAACACGAUUAGAAACUAUAUUUAACAAAUUACCCUUCUAUCAACUUAGCAUUCUUAGAAUAUUAGUCAUUUUGGAUGGAUUUAGCAACCUCACUUAUAUUAGGAAACCUCUGUUUUUUAACCACUGUUUUUAAAACCUCUGCUCGGGUAAAAAUUCAUCCACUGCUGAAAUGUAUCCUCUGUUCUCAUAACCUAUGUUUAUC